GAUGAACGCUGGCGGCGUGCCUAAUACAUGCAAGUCGGGCGAACGGACGAGAAGUUUGCUUCUCUGAUGUUAGCGGCGGACGGGUGAGUAACACGUGUAUAACCUACCUAUAAGACUGGGAUAACUUCGGGAAACCGGAGCUAAUACCGGAUGAUAUUUUGAACCGCAUGGUUCAUAAGAGAAAGACGGUCUUGCUGUCACUUAUAGAUGGAUCCGCACUGCAUUAGCUAGUUGGUAAGGUAACGGCUUACCAAGGCUACGAUGCAUAGCCGACCUGAGAGGGUGAUCGGCCACACUGGAACUGAGACACGGUCCAGACUCCUACGGGAGGCAGCAGUAGGGAAUCUUCCGCAAUGGGCGAAAGCCUGACGGAGCAACGCCGCGUGAGUGAUGAAGGUCUUCGGAUCGUAAAACUCUGUUAUUAGGGAAGAACAUAUGUGUAAGUAACUGUGCACAUCUUGACGGUACCUAAUCAAAAAGCCACGGCUAACUACGUG
rnacentral:rRNA from 1 species